CGGCUACAGCAAAGUGAGCUGCUCUGUUCCUGCAUCCCACAGGAAGCAGUUUGGGAUGAAGGACGAGGGCAGACCGCGUUGCUUGUGCCG
ensembl:miRNA gga-mir-1751 gga-mir-1751